UUUCCGUAGGUGAACCUGCGGAAGGAUCAUUCAUAAUAUGUGUUUUAUGGCACUUUUUUAAAUCCCUAUCCACCUUGUGUGCAAUGUCAGGGUUGGUCUCUUUUGCUCAGCCUCAAACAUCAACUAUGAUCUCAACUCUUUGUCUGAAAAAUAUUAUUAAUAAAACAAUUCAACAUACAACUUUCAACAACGGAUCUCUUGGCUCUC
rnacentral:misc_RNA from 1 species